UUUUUUUAGUUUGACACAUAUCAUCUUCCCAAUGAACUCUGCAACAUAUGUGUUUCAUAUUUAUAAAUGAAAUUGGAUAUAGCUUCAGAACUUAAAAAGAUUGUUUCUUUAGAAGGUGAUAUCAUACAAACAGUGUCUUAUAUCUUUAGAUAUAAGUGUUUAACCUGUCAGAUGUCUCGGUUGGCAAUUCUACUCCUCGCUGGCAUGUUACUUUUUAUUGUUACUGAAGUGGCUGCGAGCACUGGUACCCAAGGCAGCUCUAGCAGUGGACUGGAUUUUUGCGGGCCCGAUUGUCAGGCUAAAACUAAAGCAAACAAUGACGGACUACCAAGUGAAGGGAAAAGAAAGUGAAUGCAGUGAACUGGAAGGUUCUUGUUACAAUGACUUGGUUCAGAUGUAUUACUGUGGAUUAAAUUUAAUCCUGGUUUAGCUGAAAUCUUUGUUAGAUUUAAUUCUAGUCACGAAUACUAUUUCUAGCAACAAUUCAAUAAUGCAAUUGUAUUUAUUAUGUUUUAAUCGUAUUCUUCAUCAUAAAAUAAAUGUAGAUACACUA